AAGUGACGCGGUAGAGGAGCGUUCUGUAAGCCUGUGAAGGUGAGUUGAGAAGCUUGCUGGAGGUAUCAGAAGUGCGAAUGCUGACAUGAGUAACGACAAUGGGUGUGAAAAACAUCCACGCCGAAAGACCAAGGGUUCCUGCGCAACGUUAAUCGACGCAGGGUUAGUCGGUUCCUAAGGCGAGGCUGAAAAGCGUAGUCGAUGGGAAACAGGUUAAUAUUCCUGUACUUCUGGUUACUGCGAUGGAGGGACGGAGAAGGCUAGGCCAGCUUGGCGUUGGUUGUCCAAGUUUAAGGUGGUAGGCUGAAAUCUUAGGUAAAUCCGGGGUUUCAAGGCCGAGAGCUGAUGACGAGUCGUCUUUUAGAUGACGAAGUGGUUGAUGCCAUGCUUCCAAGAAAAGCUUCUAAGCUUCAGGUAACCAGGAACCGUACCCCAAACCGACACAGGUGGUCGGGUAGAGAAUACCAAGGCGCUUGAGAGAACUCGGGUGAAGGAACUAGGCAAAAUGGCACCGUAACUUCGGGAGAAGGUGCGCCGGCUAGGGUGAAGGAUUUACUCCGUAAGCUCUGGCUGGUCGAAGAUACCAGGCCGCUGCGACUGUUUAUUAAAAACACAGCACUCUGCAAACACGAAAGUGGACGUAUAGGGUGUGACGCCUGCCCGGUGCCGGAAGGUUAAUUGAUGGGGUUAGCGCAAGCGAAGCUCUUGAUCGAAGCCCCGGUAAACGGCGGCCGUAACUAUAACGGUCCUAAGGUAGCGAAAUUCCUUGUCGGGUAAGUUCCGACCUGCACGAAUGGCGUAACGAUGGCGGCGCUGUCUCCACCCGAGACUCAGUGAAAUUGAAAUCGCUGUGAAGAUGCAGUGUAUCCGCGGCUAGACGGAAAGACCCCGUGAACCUUUACUGUAGCUUUGCACUGGACUUUGAGCCUGCUUGUGUAGGAUAGGUGGGAGGCUUUGAAGCGUGGACGCCAGUUCGCGUGGAGCCAUCCUUGAAAUACCACCCUGGCAUGCUUGAGGUUCUAACUCUGGUCCGUAAUCCGGAUCGAGGACAGUGUAUGGUGGGCAGUUUGACUGGGGCGGUCUCCUCCUAAAGAGUAACGGAGGAGUACGAAGGUGCGCUCAGACCGGUCGGAAAUCGGUCGCAGAGUAUAAAGGCAAAAGCGCGCUUGACUGCGAGACAGACACGUCGAGCAGGUACGAAAGUAGGUCUUAGUGAUCCGGUGGUUCUGUAUGGAAGGGCCAUCGCUCAACGGAUAAAAGGUACUCCGGGGAUAACAGGCUGAUACCGCCCAAGAGUUCAUAUCGACGGCGGUGUUUGGCACCUCGAUGUCGGCUCAUCACAUCCUGGGGCUGAAGCCGGUCCCAAGGGUAUGGCUGUUCGCCAUUUAAAGUGGUACGCGAGCUGGGUUUAGAACGUCGUGAGACAGUUCGGUCCCUAUCUGCCGUGGACGUUUGAGAUUUGAGAGGGGCUGCUCCUAGUACGAGAGGACCGGAG
rnacentral:rRNA from 1 species